GGGAAGAACUGCUGUCACUAAAGUCAGAGGAAGGUGUCUCUGGAGAGGGAAUGGUUUUAAAAAUGCAGUGGGCACAGGAGGUUAGCACUCAGUUUGGAAGAAUAUGAACCAUUAAACUGACAAAUGAGAACAACCUCAGGGCCUAGGAGGGUAGAGGAGAUUUGGAUCCAGCGAGGCUCAUCUGUUCUUAGCUGAAAUGGUCAGAAGCUGAUUUGAAUAUUAUUUCCCCUUCAUGCACCUGUUCCUGGAAAACACAAACAACUUUGAAGUGAGAAUCCAAGCUGAUGAAACUCUCAGCAGCAGUUACUCUGCAGGAUUCCACUUGCUUUGAAAAGGAAAACUAAAUUUAUGCGUAGCUGAAAUUGGAAGUCACCUGAAAAGCCAGCCCCCCAGGAGUGAGUUCCUCUCAGACUUGACAGAUGUCUCACCGCCGUUCAAAUCACCAUAUUCAUCUGGCCCAUCCCACCCUGCUGACCAGAUGCUCUCCACAUGGAACGAAAGGGGGCAACAUCUUUGUGCUUUGUCUUUGAUGUGUGUCUUUCCUGGUUACUUCAAAACUUUGAAGCAUAAAUUAGCCAGAGGAAGAUAGAAGAAAGAACAAUAGCCUCUCCUGAAAUGCCAGAGCAUAGAGUUCUGUAACAUCUAUAUCCAGAGAAUGUCUCUUCCUUCUGCUGCUCUAAAUUUCCUGGGACAUUAUCAUUCAGUCUUACACAGAAAAACAUAUCAUUCAUCUCAGCUGGCAUUUGCAUUAGCUUC